CUAAACCACUCACAGGGUGAUGACUUGGAUGAUCAGGAAACGGCACCAGCACCACCACGGGCCUCUUCAGACUGGUCUACUCGAAAAAGUCUCCUCUCAGAGAGGUGGGAGAAAGAAAGAGCCUGUCUGGUGAAUACCAUGGUAGCACAACAAAAUGUGACAACUCAGAUCUGCCAACAAUGUGGCAUCAGUCCAGCUGCUGUCCGUUGUCGUGACUGCAGACCACAACCAUUUUUCUGUGCUGAUUGUGAUGUCAGUAUACACCGAAACCACGUAUUCCACAACAGGGAUGCAACAAUAGCUGGAUUCUUUCAGCCAUUGCCUCCAACAACCUGUGUCGUGGAGAGGGCUCUUUCCCAGUGUGGUCUCUGGAAGAGGUGUCUGUGGAGGGGAGUGGUCAGCUGCAAGGGAAACGUCUCAGAAAUCCUCAAGUAAAAUUGAUGAGGAGGGACUUGAGCUUGCAGUCUGUCGACAUGGAGUUUUUCUCACCGCUCUCAACAUGUUCAGGGGAGAAAUAUAUGCUUAUCCCCUCUACCUGCAGAACAAGCUGGCAAAUACGCCAAUAAGCUUUUUUGCCAUGGAUGUAACCUGCAAGUACUGGCCUUACCUCAACAAAGUCACAAAAAGCUGCCCGGAGCUCCAGCACCUUCUGAGCAUGAAACCAUUCCUCUCAGUGUUUCAUGCCAAAGCCCA
ensembl:lncRNA